rnacentral:rRNA from 1 species
UACGUAGGGGGCAAGCGUUGUCCGGAAUCAUUGGGCGUAAAGAGCGUGUAGGCGGCUUGGUAAGUCCGCUGUGAAAGUCCAGGGCUCAACCCUGGAAUGCCGGUGGAAACUGUCAGGCUCGAGUCCGGAAGAGGCGAGUGGAAUUCCUGGUGUAGCGGUGAAAUGCGCAGAUAUCAGGAGGAACACCAAUGGCGAAGGCAGCUCGCUGGGACGGUACUGACGCUGAGACGCGAAAGCGUGGGGAGCAACAGG